rnacentral:rRNA from 1 species
AUACGGAGGAUGCGAGCGUUAUCCGGAUUUAUUGGGUUUAAAGGGAGCGUAGGUGGGAUAUUAAGUCAGCUGUGAAAGUUUGGGGCUCCACCUUAAAAUUGCAGUUGAUACUGGUUUCCUUGAGUACGGUACAGGUGGGCGGAAUUCGUGGUGUAGCGGUGAAAUGCAUAGAUAUGACGAAGAACACCGAUUGCGUAGGCAGCUGACCAGACCGCAAAUGACGCUCAUGCACGAAAGUGCGGGGAUCGAACAGGAUUAGAUACCCUGGUAGUCCGCACAGUAAACGAUGAAUACUUGUUUUCGGCGAUAUAAUGUCGGAGGCAAAGCGAAAGCGAUAAGUAUUCCACCUGGGGAGUACGCCGGCAACGGUGAAACUCAAAGGAAUUGACGGGG